GUCAUUCCUCAGCCUUUUGGCUCAGAUCAAGUGUAAUAUCUGUUCUUAUGAGGCAGAGUCUCAAAGCCUCUUCUAGUGAGACGGAGAAACGCUUGAUCCUUUGGCCAGGGGUUAUUUGCCAUUGGUCACCAUAGAUGCAUUUAGGUGACCAGUAAAUGCUACCUGCUAUGCAUUACUGCACGUGGGCAAAUCUUA
rfam:Xenopus laevis strain J chromosome 1L, whole genome shotgun sequence.